rnacentral:tRNA from 1 species
AGGACUGUAAUUUAUAAAAAAUAUUUAAUUUGCAUUUAAAAAAAACUUACUUGGUCUGUCUUG